rnacentral:rRNA from 1 species
UACAGAGGUCUCAAGCGUUGUUCGGAUUCAUUGGGCGUAAAGGGUGCGUAGGUGGCGCCGUAAGUGGGGUGUGAAAUCCCGGGGCUUAACCCCGGGACUGCAUUUCAUACUGCGGUGCUUGAGGACUGGAGAGGAGACUGGAAUUUACGGUGUAGCAGUGAAAUGCGUAGAGAUCGUAAGGAAGACCAGUGGCGAAGGCGGGUCUCUGGACAGUUCCUGACACUGAGGCACGAAGGCCAGGGGAGCAAACGGG